rnacentral:rRNA from 1 species
UCGGGAAUAUUGCGCAAUGGAGGAAACUCUGACGCAGUGACGCCGCGUGCAGGAAGAAGGUUUUCGGAUUGUAAACUGCUUUAGACAGGGAAGAAAAAAUGACAGUACCUGUAGAAUAAGCUCCGGCUAACUACGUGCCAGCAGCCGCGGUAAUACGUAGGGAGCAAGCGUUAUCCGGAUUUAUUGGGUGUAAAGGGUGCGUAGACGGGAAGACAAGUUAGUUGUGAAAUCCCUCGGCUUAACUGAGGAACUGCAACUAAAACUAUCAUUCUUGAGUGCUGGAGAGGAAAGUGGAAUUCCUAGUGUAGCGGUGAAAUGCGUAGAUAUUAGGAGGAACACCAGUGGCGAAGGCGACUUUCUGGACAGUAACUGACGUUGAGGCACGAAAGUGUGGGGAGCAAACAGGAUUAGAUACC